GUUUUAGUAGUAAAUAAAUUACAGAAAAUUUUCAAUUUUCAGUUACCUAUAUUCCAAGGUCUAAAAUU
rnacentral:tRNA from 1 species